rnacentral:tRNA from 1 species
GCCCAGCUAGUAUGGUGGGUAUGACCCUCGGCUUCUAACCGAGUGGGCUUGGGUUCGAAUCCCGAAUAAGGCC